rnacentral:rRNA from 1 species
GAUGAACGCUGGCGGCGUGCCUAAUACAUGCAAGUCGAACGCUGAAGGAGGAGCUUGCUCUUCUGGAUGAGUGGCGAACGGGUGAGUAACGCGUAGGUAACCUGCCUUGUAGCGGGGGAUAACUAUUGGAAACGAUAGCUAAUACCGCAUGACAACAGUUAUUGCAUGAUAACUGUUGAAAAGUGUCAACUGCUCCACUACCAGAUGGGCCUGCGUUGUAUUAGCUAGUUGGUGAGGUAACGGCUCACCAAGGCGACGAUACAUAGCCGACCGGCGAGGGGGGGCGGCCGAACUGGGAGGGUGACACGCCACAGAGUGAUACGGGAGGCAGCAGUAGGGCAUCUUCGGGAAUGGACGGAAGUCUGACCGAGCAAGGCGGCGGGCGUAAGGAAGGUCUUCGGAUCGUAAAGGUCUGUUGUCAGAGAAGAACGAGUGUGAGAGUGGAAAGUUCACACUGUGACGGUAUCUUACCAGAAAGCGACGGCUAACUACGUG